CCUUAAAUUAACAUAGCAAGUCGAGCGGACAGAAGGGAGCUUGCUCCCGGAUGUUAGCGGCGGACGGGUGAGUAACACGUGGGUAACCUGCCUGUAAGACUGGGAUAACUCCGGGAAACCGGAGCUAAUACCGGAUAGUUCCUUGAACCGCAUGGUUCAAGGAUGAAAGACGGUUUCGGCUGUCACUUACAGAUGGACCCGCGGCGCAUUAGCUAGUUGGUGGGGUAAUGGCUCACCAAGGCGACGAUGCGUAGCCGACCUGAGAGGGUGAUCGGCCACACUGGGACUGAGACACGGCCCAGACUCCUACGGGAGGCAGCAGUAGGGAAUCUUCCGCAAUGGACGAAAGUCUGACGGAGCAACGCCGCGUGAGUGAUGAAGGUUUUCGGAUCGUAAAGCUCUGUUGUUAGGGAAGAACAAGUGCGAGAGUAACUGCUCGCACCUUGACGGUACCUAACCAGAAAGCCACGGCUAACUACGUGCCAGCAGCCGCGGUAAUACGUAGGUGGCAAGCGUUGUCCGGAAUUAUUGGGCGUAAAGGGCUCGCAGGCGGUUUCUUAAGUCUGAUGUGAAAGCCCCCGGCUCAACCGGGGAGGGUCAUUGGAAACUGGGAAACUUGAGUGCAGAAGAGGAGAGUGGAAUUCCACGUGUAGCGGUGAAAUGCGUAGAGAUGUGGAGGAACACCAGUGGCGAAGGCGACUCUCUGGUCUGUAACUGACGCUGAGGAGCGAAAGCGUGGGGAGCGAACAGGAUUAGAUACCCUGGUAGUCCACGCCGUAAACGAUGAGUGCUAAGUGUUAGGGGGUUUCCGCCCCUUAGUGCUGCAGCUAACGCAUUAAGCACUCCGCCUGGGGAGUACGGUCGCAAGACUGAAACUCAAAGGAAUUGACGGGGGCCCGCACAAGCGGUGGAGCAUGUGGUUUAAUUCGAAGCAACGCGAAGAACCUUACCAGGUCUUGACAUCCUCUGACAACCCUAGAGAUAGGGCUUUCCCUUCGGGGACAGAGUGACAGUGGUGCAUGU
rnacentral:rRNA from 1 species